CAAAAUUACAUGCAUGCAACCCAUUUAUGCCAUUUUUCUCUUUGUUUGUAGGCCUGACCGUUUGUCCUUGAGCCGUAGAUGGUCAACAAUCCGCUAGCUGUCUUGCUCUGACUGGUGCACUGGACAUGAUUUCAAUAGUCAGCCAGACCAUGAUUGAGCUUAAGGAUUGUGCUGCGGAUGCAGCCUGUGCAGUUCCGGGAGAAAGUCACUGUCUCGGGCAAUGCGGUCUGGUAUCAGGUCUGGAUGAUCCUUGCCUGACUGCGGGUUUGUGUACACCUCAAUCCGACUCUGUGUCCUGAACAGAGGCCGCAGUGGUGCAGCGCUUGUGGACGAUCCAUCAACAUCCUGAAAGGUCAACACUACACCAAGCUGGGAAAAUUGAUCCUGAUAGUCAUUCCCAGGCCUGACCGUUUGUCCUUGAGCCGUAGAUGGUCAACAAUCCGCUAGCUGUCUUGCUCUGACUGGUGCACUGGACAUGAUUUCAAUAGUCAGCCAGACCAUGAUUGAGCUUAAGGAUUGUGCUGCGGAUGCAGCCUGUGCAGUUCCGGGAGAAAGUCACUGUCUCGGGCAAUGCGGUCUGGUAUCAGGUCUGGAUGAUCCUUGCCUGACUGCGGGUUUGUGUACACCUCAAUCCGACUCUGUGUCCUGAACAGAGGCCGCAGUGGUGCAGCGCUUGUGGACGAUCCAUCAACAUCCUGAAAGGUCAACACUACACCAAGCUGGGAAAAUUGAUCCUGAUAGUCAUUCCCAGGCCUGACCGUUUGUCCUUGAGCCGUAGAUGGUCAACAAUCCGCUAGCUGUCUUGCUCUGACUGGUGCACUGGACAUGAUUUCAAUAGUCAGCCAGACCAUGAUUGAGCUUAAGGAUUGUGCUGCGGAUGCAGCCUGUGCAGUUCCGGGAGAAAGUCACUGUCUCGGGCAAUGCGGUCUGGUAUCAGGUCUGGAUGAUCCUUGCCUGACUGCGGGUUUGUGUACACCUCAAUCCGACUCUGUGUCCUGAACAGAGGCCGCAGUGGUGCAGCGCUUGUGGACGAUCCAUCAACAUCCUGAAAGGUCAACACUACACCAAGCUGGGAAAAUUGAUCCUGAUAGUCAUCCCAGGCCUGACCGUUUGUCCUUGAGCCGUAGAUGGUCAACAAUCCGCUAGCUGUCUUGCUCUGACUGGUGCACUGGACAUGAUUUCAAUAGUCAGCCAGACCAUGAUUGAGCUUAAGGGUUGUGCUGCGGAUGCAGCCUGUGCAGUUCCGGGAGAAAGUCACUGUCUCGGGCAAUGCGGUCUGGUAUCAGGUCUGGAUGAUCCUUGCCUGACUGCGGGUUUGUGUACACCUCAAUCCGACUCUGUGUCCUGAACAGAGGCCGCAGUGGUGCAGCGCUUGUGGACGAUCCAUCAACAUCCUGAAAGGUCAACACUACACCAAGCUGGGAAAAUUGAUCCUGAUAGUCACCCCAGAGGUGAGCGAUACGAUUCUGAACCCCAAAAGCUACUCAGAUUCCAUCUACACGAAGUACGAGCCAUUUAUUCCCGACUUCUCCCUAAAGGCAGUUGACAACAUCCUCUUCCUGCGCAUCAAGCGCACGCACUACAUCGUGGCUAGGCGGGCCACGCUCAUGGGGCGGCAUGAACAGGACAGCACGAAAGAAGACGAGACCUUCACCGUCGAGUGGAAACAUGCCACCAGGAUAAACUGGAACCACACCAAUGUGGGUGCGAGUAUCGAACAUUCCGAGCCUAUUUUCUUUGUUGCCAGCAUGGGCGACCAGCACAGUCCGCCGCCGUCAUAUACUAGUAACUGGACCCCGUUGCCCAGAACGACGAAUAUUACUGGAACGCUGACAAGAACAGAUUCAAAAGACUCCUUUAGUGAGGUUUCCCAACUCUGACAAGCCGGAACGGGAUUUAGAUUUGGUGUGCAUGCAGAUAAGCUUUCAAGUGAGUGAAUGAAAAUGUUCAUGAUCAUGGGCUUUCAUGGCGAUGGUGUAAAUACAUUUUUAUAACACAAUUUUGUAAAUAUUACCGAACAUUUACAUACAUGCACCUAACUUAAGGUCAAGUAUAAAUCAAUAUAUAGGUAAUAUAUUUAAAAUAAUGUUCAGUUAUUACUAUUUGUUUCAAAACAAAUUACUUCCAUGUCUAUUAUUCUGAAUAAAUAUUGAAAAAGAAUCCCAAAUUAUAGUUCAUUGUAUUUAAACUUGUAUACUUUUUUAUUUUCAUCAUGUAUUUUUGCGGUAUUGUUCUGUUUUAUCAAACCUUUAACUAUUUAGUGUUGUUAAUUUUACAUGAAAAUAUAUACUGUGCUAUGUUUGCUUGUGCAUAAAGACAUUGUAAUUUAUUUUUGAUGUACAAUCUUAAUAAGGUAUGUAUACAUUAAAAAGUUACAAAAACAAAAGUUAAACAUUACAUCGCUUACUCUGCGUUGGACGUUCUUGAUCGCAUUAAUUGUUUGACUGCUUUGUGCUAUAUUUUACGUUUGCGCAUUUGGUUUAUUAUUUAUGUUAUGCAUUCCGCUUGUAUAGGCUAGUCAACAUUUUACUAUAAGUCUUAAUUUUUGUGUUGGUGCUUUUAAAUCGAAAUUAUUACAAGCAUCUAAAAAUGAACGUUUUCCCUUAUUUUAAUUUAUUUUCCUUAAAAUAUAUAAUCACUCUUUAUUUUCAAUAUAAUUAAAAAAAACA